GAUGCUGAUCACCUCACUCGCAGCAAGGAUCACCCCAAUUUGCCAUCACCAGGCCGUGACCUGGGUCCCCAGGGAGGGCACGGCACCUGCCUGCAUCGGGGGAUUUCCACCAGCCCCUGCCCAGGGCAGCUCGCCCAUGGCGUGCCGCGGCUGCUCGAAGGCAAGCCUCGUGGCGGGAGCGGGGCCCCACAGCCCAGUGGAGCUCGUCCCCUGGUAAGGACGGCGCGGGGAAGGUCUGCACAGCUGGGAGCUGCACCCAGCCGGGGAGCGGGGGUCCCAGGGGGUGCUCAGCACCGCGCCAGAGUUGGCAGGGGACAACAAAUGAUUCACAAUCUCAGCAGCGGAUGGGAUGUAAGGAUGCUGAACCCUUGCAGAUCUGAGAGACCACGCGGGACUCCUACGCCAACCCACCACUUAGGGCCUCUCAGCCUGGAAAUCAGGAGACAACGGGUGAUGGAGAAUACUCCCUGACCACCAGCAAGCUGUUUCAACAGUUAAUUGCCCUUCCAUUAAAGCCUGAGUUCAUCUGGCUUCAGCUUCCAGCUGACCUCAGUAUAUAUACAUUUUUGUCUGCUUUUAUCAGAAACCUGCUCCCUCUGUAAAUACCUACCGACUGUGGGAGAGGGGUAAUUUGCAGCCUCACAGAUCCACAUUACCCAUGCUGUCCUGACACUUGCAAGACCUUGUGCCAAGCUUUAAGCCAGGCAUAACAGGAUCCAUCCCACCUCCCCGUGGAAGGCCAAAAUCACCUUGUGACAGCCAAGAGAAAUCCAAAUCCAGAAUUGCUUUGCUAGAAAAGCAAACCCAUGUUCUGCCUUGCUUGCGAAGCGGGGGCCAUCUGUUGCCAGCUGUGCCUUGCUUCUCCCCAGGGCCACCUGCGCCCUGAGGCUGCAGAUGCUGGAGGCUGGCAGCAGCGCCAGCUGAGAGCCCACCGCCAGCCAGGGGUCCUCCAACGGCCAGGUGCCCCCUAACCUAGGACGAGGACAUGAAUGAAGCAGCCCAGCCCGGCCAAUGUGGAAAGGGAAAAUUGCAAAUGCUAGCAGUGUUGGAUUUGUGGAAGCCUUGAACCUCCCAGGGCGGGCCCCCAGCUCUCUCAAGCCGUGCCCAGCACACGGCCGGGAGGCCUGGCUGUAUCCACCCUCGCUGGGUGCAUCCCCUUCCCGUAGCCUUCCCAGCUUCCCAGAAAAAUUCCACUUCAAGAGCUAAAACACAAAGGCAAAAUGCAAACAAAAAAGGGUAUCUUUAAAAUUGUGUUGUGCUGCUUCCUGUCCCCAUGCACUCAGACACCCGCGGGCCCUGUCUGCCACCCCGCUGUGUAUUCCCGGUAAGCCCAGCAGCCGUUCCUGCCAUUUAUUUGCCACAGACUCACAGAUCUGUUUGGGGUGGGAGAGCUGCUCCUCUGAAAACAGAUUUCUGUACCCCCUAUGGUAGGAGGAGCACACAUUUCCAUUUUUUCCUGCUAAAAAGCUGA
rnacentral:lncRNA from 1 species